rnacentral:rRNA from 1 species
UACGUAGGGUGCGAGCGUUAAUCGGAAUUACUGGGCGUAAAGCGUGCGCAGGCGGCGCGUUAAGACAGGUGUGAAAGCCCCGAGCUUAACUUGGGAAUUGCGCUUGUGACUGGCGUGCUGGAGUGUGGCAGAGGGAGGUGGAAUUCCACGUGUAGCAGUGAAAUGCGUAGAGAUGUGGAGGAACACCGAUGGCGAAGGCAGCCCCCUGGGUCAAGACUGACGCUCAUGCACGAAAGCGUGGGGAGCAAACAGG